CGGCAAUUUCAUCAAGGGCAGGAAUUGGAAAUCUAAUUUUGUCAGCUUUUAUUGAUGAAACACCGUAAGAAGUGCAAGUUUGUUGCAUCUCUACAUGGUGUUGAAUUAUUGCGCAGUGGCGGAAGUGAUGAACUGUUUCAGUGCUUUAACUACCUCGGCAUAUGUCUAGAUAUUCUCUUAACACGGAAAACUGUGGGCAACUUGUGGAUGGCAUUUGAUGCGAUGAUUCAAGAUUGGAAAACUGAAAUACAGGACCCUUUGGGUACACCUUCAGUUGGGACAACGUUCAGAGUGAUACAACGGCAAGACAUCAAGCCAAGGAACACCAGAGCAAGACUUCGCAUUACAGUGUUUUGCAACACAGAAUAGAGUUCAUACGACAGAUCUUGAGGCUCCAGAACAUCUCACUGAUGCCAGAAAAGUUCCGUUACGGUCAUUUGUUCCAUCACGAGAGGACUUUUUGUUCCUCCAGAGGAGAAUGAUUGUACUUGUGGCCCGAAUAUUGUGCGAGCACUUCAAUUACUUCUUUUGCAAUAAAGCGAAGUAACAUUGUAAGUAUUUAAGCAAAAUUUAGAAGCCUGAUUGCAUGAACACGUAACAAUAAAACUUAUAAAGAUGAGUUACUUUUCAAACAGCUUUUUAUCAUGGAAAUAAAUAGAACAUACAUUUCAUCAGGUGGCCAAUCACUUUGUGCCGAGACACCUACUGCAAUCUUGCGGAAGUUUCAUUGUUAUUAGUAUUAUUCAGGUUUUUUGAAAUGGCUCAAAUACUUUCAAAUUUCUAUAGGAAAACCAUUUGAUUGAACGUUGAUCGCAUUGGUUGAUGAUCAUUUAAAAACCUUAUUCUCAAAGGCGGCUGAACAGAUAGGUAACAUAUAGUGCAAUGUAGGAGUUGUUGAAACCAACCCUUCCAGCACAGAAGGAGCUAUCCAGAUUCUGAAACAUUUUAGCAAAUACUUGCCAAGAAAAAUUGAUGAUCGCCAAUUCAAGACUAUUUGCUUUGGAGAUGGGCUUUCAUCGGAACGAAUCAUAGAUGCCAAAAAAAUCAAGAGCAACUGGGAUUGACCAGUGGGAGCGGUUAGAGCCCUGUGAGCCUUCUCCCCAGGAAUUCCACAAACGAAUGCUUCUCA